GAUAAGGCUAUACUACUUCUGUUGUUUAAAUCCAAAGCAACAUCAAAAAGAAUUUCUCUAUGUGUGAAAUUAAGCUUAAUUAUUAAGUUCCUUAAAUUUGUUUUGUCUCCAUCAUAAUGGGUAUGGCAAGGUUUAGGAGUUGGAGGUAAGGUUUAGGAAUGGAGGGUACAUUUUCAAACAUGUUAAUUUAUUUUAAGGCUGUGGUAGGACCAUGCAUAUGCAUUAAUCUGUAAUUAGGUAGCCACAUAUUUCUAGGUAGGCAGCAAUAUACAUGAGAAUUUCCUUUUUUAUCACUAUCGCUAAGUUUCUUAGUGGCUAAGUCCUUAUUCCUUAAUAAGGUGUCAAAAUAGUGAAUUAUUAAACUUAUGAUUAUUGAACCUAGUUUGCUUGCAUUCAAAUUCCCAUGUCUCUAAUACAUCCUCAUGUUGCCAUGAGGUUACUUUCCUUAAACUUUACUUAUUGCACCUGUUUACCCUGUUGAAAACACCUUCAGAGGCUCUCAUUGCUUAAUGAAUCAUAUCCGACUCUAUAAUAGCAUUUCAGUGCUCUUCACUGUCUACCACCAUGUAUGUUUCUAAUUAUAACAGCACCCCUUGAUCCAUCCCCUUACACACCCAAAGUAUCGAAUACUCUCUCAUCUCAUAGUACCUCAAUACUUUUUCUUACUCUCACCCCUUCACAGAAUCCUGAGGCUGUCCCAUGACUCUUCACUCAUUAUGCUUCCUGAAUGCCAAGAUGCCCUGCAGAAAGACUGUGUUGUCAGAAAUUGGAGCUGAAGUUUCUCAAGGCAGCUGGCCAACCAGGUGACAGUUCUGGAUGCCAGAAUUCUUCAAUCCAGCUGUUGGCAAGACUGGUCCCUCCUGGAGGCUCUGAAGAAGAAUUUGUUCCAUGCUUUUAAGAAGUCUCUCUCCUAGCUUCUGAUGGCUACUGUGGCUGCAGAGUUCAAGUUGGGCCUUCCUUGGCUAUUUGCCAUCCCAAUGCCAAUUAGUGUACACAGAGCCUGGAUUCUUCUCCAGCCAGGAGGGGCAUGGUUACAGCCUGGCCUCAUCAUCAGAAGGUAUUUAUCGAAUGCCUCCCAGCUGGAGCUGGGACUGAGAAGUCACCUGCAGAAUGUUGAGACUCACUCUCCUUCCAUCCCCAUAAGAAGAUUAAAAAAAUCUUCCGUGGUUAAAUUUCAUGAGCCAUUUAACUCUCCAGCAGCCAUUUGGUCUUUGCUGUUUCUGUUUUGUGGAAGAAUUUAUUUUAUGUGUUAUUUCCCCCUUAAAUUUUAAGAAUAUGUAUCUUCAUGAAAAGAACAAAGGAAGAAAAACAACUUGUAAAUUAUCACAAGAAAAACCCCUGCUAAAAGCAAUAAGUUUGCUGACAGAUGGCAGAAUCAGUUGAAAAGCGAGUACCAUAUUUACUAAGUCUAACCCAUUUAGUAAGCCAAAAAAGUGUUAUCUAAUUCUAUCCCCUGUGUAUGCAUGUGUUUUGGAAUAAACAGAUGCCUAAUGAGGAAUGUGUCUAGUGU
rnacentral:lncRNA from 13 species